AACCUGCACGCUUUUUCUGCAUAGUUUCAAUUGCAGAGAGGAAGGAGUUGUAGAGGUCCAGUGUCAUGAAAACUGAUUUGUCUGCUGCUUCCUUGUUGAGUUCUUGCACAGCUUUGAGCAACAUUUUGUUGUGAUCUUUGGAGAUCACGUUCAAAAGGCCAAUGCAGUUCGUACGGAAAGAUAUCACAUUUAACACAGGCAAACACCCAAUUGGCUGUAAUAACCCAACUGCUACCUUUUUUAUCCCUAAGCUGUGAAUGCGUUUAAGAUUUACAGACAUUUGCUUCACAAGGGAUUCCAUGAAGCCUGGGAGGUGAUAACGACAAGCGCAGAGAGACACUUGACAAGGAAGAUAAAUUAAAAAAGGGCAUGGGGGACUUCUUGGACGAAAUGUUAACAAUGAUGAGUCAGACCAAAUCAAAUGUGAGUCAUCUAGUUAGAGGCGUGUUUGGUGAUAAAGCUAUGCAAUUAAAAUGUUUUAUAUAUAUUUUAGUUUAGUGGAUAAAGCUAGACAUAACAUAGUGUCCGCUUUUGUCAAAUACUAUGUAAGUGUGUAGUAUAUAGUUUAUAUACUACACACUGUUAGGAAGAUUAGGGUGGUAUAUCAAUGCAGACAAAGUUGAUUGAGAAGUGGAUUUCGCUGCUGUAUUGUUUGCUCUUUUGCUUGAAAUGCAGGGAAAAUCGAAUGAGAAAAGAGAUCUCAAUUGGUUGUGCUUGUGCGUGAGCUGAUGAAAGAUGCACACUAGUGCAGAAAAAGGAAGCGCCCUCUAUUAUCAUUCGGUGUUCAUUUGCUUGAAGAUACCUCUGGACACCCCGAGAACAAAACUAUUUUGAAACCCGUAUGGUCAAUUCCAAAUGGGAUUCCUACUCUGUCCAAGUCAAUUCCAGCAGAAAGAUCAUCAAGGAAGAAAAGGAUCCUCUUCUAUUUCUUUAUACUUUCAUCAGCUCACGCACAAACACAACCAAUUGAGAUCUCUUUUCUCUUUUCUCAACCAAUUGAGACCUCUUGAUCAAGUAAAAUGUUGUUUUAUAUAUUUUAUCAAUUAUUUAUAGACAGUAACUUUUUUUAAUAUCUUAUAUCAAUUAUUUAUAGUCA